GAGCCCAGAGCUGGACCCAGCACUCCAGAUUUGGCUUCACCAGUGCUGAGUAGAGGGGAAGGAUCACGUCCCUUUACAGGCUGGAAAYGCUCUGCCUAAUGCAGCCCAGGAAGCUGGUGGCCUUCUUUGCCAUGAGGGCACAUUGCUGGCUCAUGUCCAACUCGUUGUCCACCAGGACRYCCAGGUCCUUCUCUGCAAAGCUGCUCUACAGCAGGUCCGGGCCCUUCGCCGGCCCCGGUGGCGAUUCGGAGUGUCGCAGCCGCGCCUGACCCGACAACAUGGGGCGCUUCAGCCUUUCCUCCUUUGCGGAGCUUGCCCCGCUCCUGCCGCUCACGAUGCAGCUGUGCCUCAUCUACACCGUGGUGCAGCUCAACAGACUGCGGCAUCUCCAGGGGAGGACGAGAAGGCGGAGGAGCGGGCUGCGAACCGAGACGGAGGAGCAGAGAGUUUUUCUCAUGGUGAAGGAAGAGCGGGCAGAGUCGUCGCUGACCCUCGAGAGGCGGUUGAGCAUGGAGGCAUCGGCCGUCUUCUCCUUCCCACUGCGGGCACCACUGGCCUCCUUCGACUCCAGCCUGCUGGGCACAAGCAGCUCCUCCUCGCUGGCCUCCUUAUCCUCCUUGCUGGAGGGAGCCACGGUGCUGACUACCACCGCCGAGGUUCUGCUCCCGUGCCCUGGGACCGGCGGGAUGCAGCUGGAGGAAGCGGCAGCUCUCCCAGCUGUGGGGCUGGAUCUGGCCUGCGUGGUGCCCGAGGGAAUGGCGGCACUGGGUCCUUCCCCUUGGCCUGCUGCUGGCCCAAGGAUGGAGAGGAGGGACGUGCAAC
rnacentral:lncRNA from 1 species